UUUUAGGUAAUAAAUGAAAAAUGAAAAAAAUGAUAGAAUUAGAACAUCACCACUUUGUAACCCCCAAUGAAUUAAUGGAUUUAGGCAUUAUCAACAGUUUCUAACAUCACAGACAGACAAACAUAUGCCUCCUGAUUGAAAAAACAGAACAUCACCUGUAGUCUUGCCAGUGAGAUCAAACUGAAGUCCAAUUAACCUCUGGAUCCAGCUGCCAAUUUGCAGGAAAUAGAGGACAGAAGCAUCUGUUGAACUGCACCAUGAGUAUACACUCAGCAAAGGCCAAACUGUGGAAAAUGAUACAGGCCAAACAGCCUUUAACAGGAAGUGAUGUUUCUGAAGCACCAAUGAAAAUGAAGUCCUGAAGUCUUGUGCUCAAUAUGUAAUGUUGGAAGUUAGAAAGAAAAAAACAAAACGUGGAUCCAAUCUCAAGGCACUUUUGGUUUAGUGGGAAGAAGUGGAUUAUUUUAAAAGCUACAAAUAAAGUUACAUAAAAGUAGCAAA